CUACACAGAUCCCCGAUCGUCCCAACUGGGCUCCUCUACUGAUCGACUAGAACAUGUAAAGUAGCUAGCAGUUAAUUUUGCAAAGUAGAUAGCAGAGUCUGUUAGACAUGUCUUUCUUUUUUUUACCUCUACGGCAAAACUCAUAUAUCAAAGUAGCAGAGUCUGUUGGACAUAUAUGCCCUUAUGGACUGAAUUUUUGUACAAUAGGACUGUUGGAAUUUCACGUGAUCUAUUUGCAAUCAGAGGAACAGUUGAUGUUAGCAUUAUUACGAUGUAAGCAACAAGUUCAGUCUACAAGUAUUUGCUAAUAACCUGAGUCUGUUGGACAUGUCUUUCUUUUUUUAUAGAUACAUAUGGGGAAUCCACACAGCAAGCCAACGGAAGAGACAACAUCGUCACAUGUACCUCCAGGAGUCCAUAUUACUCCCUCGGAACGGGUGAUAGUUCAACAGAACGAUGGUGAUAGCACAUAUGAUACUCCAGGAGUCCAUAUUACUCCCUCGGAGCGGAUCAUACUUGAACAGACCGAUGGUGAUAGCACAUAUGUUCAUCAACCUUCCCAUCUGGUUUCGGAUAAGUAUUCUUUUGCUGAAAGGUUAACACCAUGUGCCUACAACUUUGCCUUAUUUCGGACCAAUAUUUGUUAUGUUUACAUGAUGCAGAC